rnacentral:rRNA from 1 species
AUUGAACGCUGGCGGCAAGCCUAACACAUGCAAGUCGAACGCGUGGCGGACGGGUGAGUAAUGUCUGGGAAACUGCCUGAUGGAGGGGGAUAACUACUGGAAACGGUAGCUAAUACCGCAUACCAUCGGAUGUGCCCAGAUGGGAUUAGCUAGUAGGUGGGGUAAAGGCUCACCUAGGCGACGAUCCCUAGCUGGUCUGAGAGGAUGACCAGCAAUACUGGAACUGAGAGACAAUCCAGAAUCCUACGGGAGGCAGCAGUGGGGAAUAUGGAACAGUGAGCGCAAGCCUGAUGUAGCCAUGCCGCGUGAAUUAAGAAGGCCUUCGGGUUGUAAAGUACUUUCAGCGGGGAGGCGUUACCUGAAGAAGAAGCACCGGCUAACUCCGUGCCAGCAGCCGCGGUAAUAC